rnacentral:rRNA from 1 species
GCUUGCAGCCAUUCCACUCUGAGCGUCCCYGAUCUGUUCUCGGAAGCAGGGUCAGGUCUGGCUAGUACUUGGAUGGGAGAUUGCCUGGGAAUACCAGGUGCUAUUUGGG